GUGAACAAGCACGCACCCAAGGUGGCCAUGAAGCUCCCGGCGUGGAUCCGGCCGCCGGCCCCGCCUCUCGUGCUCAAGAUUGGUGGACGCCACUAGCCGUUCAAAAUGGCGGCACGGCCGUUGCCUUUCUCGGUCGCUGCUAUGGCCGCCUCCAUCGCUGUCAACUACAAUGCGGUGCGUGACGCCCCUACUAACUUCCGCGCGGAUGUAGGUGCCCUUGGCUACUCGUUUUUGUAGGUCGACCAUGACGGCGAGGUCACCACGGAGGUUCUGGUUGCCGACGGCGCAACAAUGGCCCCGGACGAGCGCUUGCUCGUGUACAUGUCCGAAUUGCGUAUAUUGGUGCUCCUAUUAACCUCAAAAGGGAUCUGUGCAAAGCAGGAGUUGUUGCAGGGGCUGUGUUCUUCGUCGUUGUCUAUGGCGCCUGUUACUGGUACAGCCGCCGCAAGUAGGGCGACGGGCAGGGGCUAAUGGGUAGAGGCAGAACUAUGGCGUGCCUCUUCUUUUGCUAGUACUAAUCCUUACGUAGGAUGUUAACCCUUACGUGUGUUAAGUAACACGGCCCCUGUAUUUCGUAUUUUAGAUCGUACUCAAGUUAGCAGAUAAUUUUGUAAUGCUAUUGUACAAUGCGAUGCAUAUACGCGCAGCCCCUAUAUAGAUCUGAAGUGUGAACCCUUUGAUUGCUCCCCCUUGUAUUUGAAAGUACUUGUCAAAUUCUCAACUACUCCUCUCCGUCCGCCGUCCUAGUAUUUGCACACAUACCAAGGAGCUGGAAACAACGCGCUUGCUGCCUUGUAAAAUUCUUCUUUUAGCCCAGCACGCUAGGUUUUUUAAUCUGGCUUGGACCAACCACAUUGGCCACAGCAACACUUGCAUGCAGUGAUUGGUCACAUGGGCUGUUAAUAUUUAAUGCAUGCAGCAGCUCAAGUCACCAGGCCGAGGGUGUUUUCGAGAGGAGUCUGGCAAAAGGGUACCACGCCUCGUAUAGAUGGACUGCGGGAUUUGAAUUAAGCGCCCGGUAAAAGAGGAUGGAGGGAGUAAUUAUCAUCUCCAUCCAUUCAAGUGUUCACGCAGACCUGCGGCCGACGGCGCUUGGACUGGCGGCUAGCUACUCGAGCGGCGGCGCCUAGAUUGGACACGACGUCGACGAGCUUGGUGACCGGCGGCGUGCACCUACGUGCUAAUGAACCCGGUCGGGGUUUCGGGGACGCAAAGAUAAGAGCACAGGCAACGUGGCAAGUGAGUGGGUCCCGCGCGCUCGGUUUAAAGCCAGCCCCCCAUGUAAGAAAUGGCUCUUUUGCAUUUCAACCCCUCGCGCUCGCUUCUGGCGAUUCCCUUCACUCCGUACGAUCGACUUCGCUCAGGCGUCCUCUUUCGUGUUUCAAGUCACUCACGCUCCUGGCUUGUGCCAUUAGCCCGAUUUUUCCCUUCUGAAUUGUAAUUUAACCCCAGGGUGUGGUAAUCAUAAUGCAAUGAUUCCCAUAUGUUAACCUUUCUCCGCAGGAUGCAUCAUAACUUAUCAUUUAAAACAGAACCUAAUGCAUCCCAUCAGGCUCACGUCUUAUACAUAUCUUCCCGUUUCCCUCUGUACAGUCGCCGCUGUGUGUUCCUAACUUGGUGUCUUCUGAAAACAGCAACAUCUUGCAAUCAGUGAAAGUGGGAAAAUACACAGAGUGGUUUAAUGAUGUUUCGGAUAGUGAGAUCUCAAAUACGGGUCGCACUUAACCUCCUGUGCAGCACCUUUGGAUGUCAGGAGGCGAGCUGAACUGACGUUAGAUACUCGAACAAGCUUGGCACUUUUUGGGUCAUUCACUUCAACAGAUUAUGUUGCUUCUCAAUGUCUGAGAAGAAGGAUAAUGUACUAUCACAUGGAAGCAUUCAAGAAGGUUGAUGUCAUAGCAACCCCGACAACUGGCAUUACUGCACCAAAAAUACUGCCGAGUGCUCUGAAGUUAGGAGAGUCUGAUUAUGUUGUCAA